UCGUCGAUAGUGUAACGGUUCAGCACACGCCCCCAUAGGGUGAAAUCUGGGUUCAAAUCCCAGCUGACGUGAA